rnacentral:lncRNA from 1 species
GACUUGGGUUCAAGGGAUUUUCUUAUCUCAUCCUCCUGAGUAGCUGGGAGUACAGUCAUGUGCCACCUUGUCUCGCCUCGUCUAUACGUUCAUUUCAAUGGAUAAGAAUAAAAGUAGAGGUAUUAAAAUGGCCUCCUUGUAGAAUAAAUGAGCUGAUAUAUUGUUAUAAUGAUGACAUCUUUUUUCUUUUCUCUCUGUAUAGAUAGGGCUUUGGAGUCCGACCCUUCUGGUCAUCCAGGAGCAAAGAAAUCUCAAGCAGAUGCACAAGAAAUAGGAGAAAACAGCGAUACAAACCAUAUAGAUACGUAUUUUUUUUCUUUGAAAUGCAACUCGUGCUCGACGAUUUUCCUGGACGACAGCACAGCCAGCUGCCCUCAUUUUAAAAUGACACUAAAAUCGUGAGUACAACUCUACUGCCAAGGGACAGAUUAAAAUUAUUUCAGCCAUUUGUUUGUCCUCUUCAAUCCGUUUAA